CGUAGGGGGCUAGCGUUAUCCGGAAUUACUGGGCGUAAAGGGUGCGUAGGUGGUUUCUUAAGUCAGAGGUGAAAGGCUACGGCUCAACCGUAGUAAGCCUUUGAAACUGGGAAACUUGAGUGCAGGAGAGGAGAGUGGAAUUCCUAGUGUAGCGGUGAAAUGCGUAGAUAUUAGGAGGAACACCAGUUGCGAAGGCGGCUCUCUGGACUGUAACUGACACUGAGGCACGAAAGCGUGGGGAGCAA
rnacentral:rRNA from 1 species